rnacentral:rRNA from 1 species
AAAUUGACGGGGACCCGCACAAGCGGUGGAUGAUGUGGAUUAAUUCGAUGCAACGCGAAAACCUUACCUACCCUUGACAUGUCCGGAAUCCCGAAGAGAUUUGGGAGUGCUCGCAAGAGAGCCGGAACACAGGUGCUGCAUGGCUGUCGUCAGCUCGUGUCGUGAGAUGUUGGGUUAAGUCCCGCAACGAGCGCAACCCUUGUCAUUAGUUGCUACAUUCAGUUGGGCACUCUAAUGAGACUGCCGGUGACAAACCGGAGGAAGGUGGGGAUGACGUCAAGUCCUCAUGGCCCUUAUAGGUGGGGCUACACGCGUCAUACAAUGGAUGGUACAAAGGGUCGCCAACCCGCGAGGGGGAGCCAAUCCCAUAAAGCCAUUCGUAGUCCGGAUCGCAGUCUGCAACUCGACUGCGUGAAGUCGGAAUCGCUAGUAAUCGUGGAUCAGAAUGUCACGGUGAAUACGUUCCCGGGUCUU